rnacentral:misc_RNA from 1 species
CACAAAUUAAAAUAUGAAGGCUUCGGCUGGAUUAUUUUAUCACCCUUAGCCUUUGCGCACUUGUUGUUUCCUGGGCGAGGUUCGCCCGCCACCAGGACCACACCAUAAACCUUUUUAUGCAGUUGCAAUCAGCGUCAGUAUAACAAAUGUAAAUCAUUUA